rnacentral:rRNA from 1 species
AUGCUUAACACAUGCAAGUCGAACGGUAACAGAUAAGAUGAUCUCUUCGGAGUGAAUCUUUGCUGACGAGUGGCGGACGGGUGAGUAAUGCUUGGGAAUCUGCCCAAUAGUGGGGGAAAACUCGGGGAAACCCGGGCUAAUACCGCAUAAUCUCUACGGAGGAAAGAGGGCCUCUACAUGUAAGCUCUCGCUAAUGGAUGAGCCCAAGUCAGAUUAGCUUGUUGGUAAGGUAAUGGCUUACCAAGGCUACGAUCUGUAGCUGGUCUGAGAGGACGACCAGCCACACUGGGACUGAGACACGGCCCAGACUCCUACGGGAGGCAGCAGUGGGGAAUAUUGCACAAUGGGCGCAAGCCUGAUGCAGCAAUGCCGCGUGUGUGAAGAAGGCUCUAGGGUUGUAAAGCACUUUCAAUAGAGAAGAAAAGCUUGAAAUUAAUACUUUCAAGCCUUGACGUAACCUAUACAAGAAGCACCGGCUAAUUCCGUGCCAGCAGCCGCGGUAAUACGGGAGGUGCGAGCGUUAAUCGGAAUUACUGGGCGUAAAGCGAGCGUAGGCUGUUAAUUAAGUCGAAUGUGAAAUCCCCGGGCUCAACCUGGGAACUGCAUCCGAAACUAUUUAACUAGAGUAUGGGAGAGGAAAGUAGAAUUUCCGGUGUAGCGGUGAAAUGCGUAGAUAUCUGAAGGAACACCAGUGG